rnacentral:snoRNA from 1 species
UUCUUUGUCCAAAAUAUCCAUCACUUUAGACAGUGCCUUCUGCUGGAUGAUAUCAACCAUGUUAGCUAUAUGAACUAGCACGCCUUUAAAGGAUCAGUUCUUGAUUUCUUUUGUGCCAAGUUGUAAUAGUGAGAUGACGAUGUCUCGUGUUAAUCAGUAAAUAAGGCGAUGUGUGUAUGGAAAUAACAACAUUGCACCUUUUAAGAACCUGUCUGGACUUUUUUCAGAAUGAAAGAGAGGUGUCAGUGGGUGCAAAUAUCU